UCGAGGGGUCUACGAUUUCUUUCCACUCCACAAAGAGGACUCCUUUCAAAUCCUCUAUUCCGUGUCACACGUGCAAUCUCAGGCCUCCUCGUGUGUUCACUUCUUCGGCUUUCCUGAGGAACAUGCCCUGCUCCCGCCACGCUGGGAUAACUAAACACAUUUUCCUUCCAAAGGCCACUUUUUUCUAAGCUCCAAGAUUUAUCCCAAUCAGCACCCAUCGACUUUUGAGUAUUUCUGGAUGUUGAGGCCUGGGCUGGUGGGACCCACCAAUGCAAGAAGGGAUCGCGGCCCGGCUCCCACCGAGGUCCUGAUCAGGUUCGGGGAGACCAGACUAACGGACGUGCAACGGCUGGAAGCAGUGGGAGACGGGGUGUAAUUAAGUGCUGAAUGUAAUACUGACUCUAAUCAUAACUGUAGCUUCCAGCUAUUUAGAGCUCAAUGGAGCAAGUUGCUCUACAAAUUGCUAACAGUAUCUUACUUCAACUUCAAAUAACCCUUUGAGGUAGAGUUCUUCAAAUAUGGUUUUAUUUGUCAUUCUCCAAUGUGAAAAAUCCUAAAAGAAGAAGAUACAGAUAAGCAAUUUGAAUUUCAGAAGAUGAAUGAUAUUUGAAAGGGAGUCGGGGAGAAUGUUUAAUGCAUUUAACAGGAAAACAUCUUCAUUUCGAUCUAAUCACAGCGUAGAUGCAGGCAGUGCUCAUUCCUCAGAAACAAGCAGCCUCCAGGCUGACAGACCCACAAUUCCAGAAACCCUUGUACUCUUCUCCUGCUACCUGAUCCGAUAAAAGCCCUCCAGAUUCCCGGGACUCUGCUCCAUGAGACAGGGAGUUGAGAUGACUGCCUUUUAAACUCUAGCGCUGCAGCUAUGCUCAGAAGAACUUCGGAAGGACUCGUUAACACAUCAGGUUAACAUCCCAUCUGGCUGCUAAGCUUAUAUUCUGAAGAAAAGGGUGCUUUCUGAAGAAAAAUUGUUAACACAAGCUCUUGACGGUUCUCCAUGUGUCUUACAUGAAGCGCUGAGGACACAAAGAUUAGGAAAAUAUUGGACCUACCUUUAAUGAAUGAACCACGGCCAAAUGGAAAAAGAACUUUGUCUCUGACUGGGAAGAAGCCACCAACAUUUCUGGGUCAAUUUGGUAGAAAAGCAACCCACAGUGUAUUGAACAUUUAUUCUGUGCUUGACACUGGCCAGGUAAGCUCUACACCCAACAUGGGACUCGAACUCAGAAUCCUGAGAUCAACAGUCACGUUCUCUACUGACUGAGCCAGCCAGGCACCCCUCUGUUGCUUGAUCCUUUAUAUCUUGGCCUAGAUUCUCCUGCAGCACCCCUCUGAUUCCUCUCCAAGGCACAUGGAUGCGAGUAGCCAUAUAUGGUUGGUCUCUGUCCUGUGCAGCACAUCCCUUCUUCAGAUAACAGCAACUGCCUUUCACUGAAUUCUCUUUCAAUAA